AACGAACGCUGGCGGCAUGCCUAACACAUGCAAGUCGAACGAGACCUUCGGGUCUAGUGGCGCACGGGUGCGUAACGCGUGGGAACCUGCCCUUAGGUUCGGAAUAACUCCCCGAAAGGGGUGCUAAUACCGGAUAAUGUCUUCGGACCAAAGAUUUAUCGCCUUUGGAUGGGCCCGCGUUGGAUUAGCUAGUUGGUAGGGUAAAAGCCUACCAAGGCGACGAUCCAUAGCUGGUCUGAGAGGAUGAUCAGCCACACUGGGACUGAGACACGGCCCAGACUCCUACGGGAGGCAGGAGGGGGGAAUUUUGGAAAAUGGGCGAAAGCCUGACCCAGCAAUGCCGCGUGAGUGAUGAAGGCCUUAGGGUUGUAAAGCUUUUUUACCCGGGAUGAUAAUGACAGUACCGGGAGAAUAAGCCCCGGCUAACCCCGU
rnacentral:rRNA from 1 species